rnacentral:rRNA from 1 species
UACGUAGGGGGCAAGCGUUGUUCGGAAUUACUGGGCGUAAAGGGCGCGUAGGCGGCCCUGCAAGUCGGAUGUGAAAUCCCACGGCUCAACCGUGGAAGUGCAUUCGAAACUGCAGGGCUAGAGUCCUGGAGAGGAAGGUGGAAUGCUUGGUGUAGAGGUGAAAUUCGUAGAUAUCAAGCGGAACACCGGUGGCGAAGGCGGCCUUCUGGACAGUGACUGACGCUGAGACGCGAAAGCGUGGGGAGCAAACAGG